AAUAAGAUUAAUUUUCCACAGCCAGUACCUAAAGUGAAAGUUUCUAAGCAGUGUUAGACAGCAUUAUUAUGAUUCUUCAGUCAGUAAAAAUUUAUACACGGGUAUAUAGUCAGCAAGUCGGCAUUGCCUUUUGAAGCGUACACGCAACAAAAGGAGUAUAAAUUUAAUGUUUUAGGUUUACUUGCACAAGCAUAGAAUCGUUCUCAUUACGAACAUAGUCGUUUAUUGUCAACUUAUCACUGCCCAUCUUUAAAAAGCUUUGUUGGGCAGAUAACAAAUAUUGUAGUGGAGUACAUGCAGUUAAACUUGUAGGUUUGUUUUGCAACCUUAAUGGUUCAAAUUUUAACAGCCAUGGAUUUAAGAUUUAUAUGACAAUGUGAGAACAUUGUACGUGACGAUAGUAUGUGUGACUUGCUUAUAUGUGGAAAAUACACACACUUACCUUCGCAUUUAGGUGGGUUUCUGAAUCCUGGCCUACACCGUUGACGCAGCAUGGCGAAAACUUGUAAAGCGGUCAUGGUCGCAGAUCGUGGAGUGGGAGACGGAGUACUUGGGGGUUGUGACUGUGAUCUUUCCUGCGACUCAAAUCCCAACAGUCUUGCUUAAAAGAAUAUAGAAACACGUGACUGAAACCCUUCUAUGCAAACGGAGCAUUUUAAACAAGAAAAUCUUACUACGAUUUCUAUUUGACAAAAUAAGCCUACCUCUGAAGUAACACAUGAGUCUCGGGUGCGUACUGCCUCCAUCGUAGCAACAUCCCCUGGAUAAACGGGUAAAUGUAAUCUAGAAUUUGGAAACUAUGCAUGUCUAGUGUAGUAUGGGGUGGGGAACGUGAAACCUUUUUAUUAUAUUUUCUCCUUUCAUUUGUUAAAAAAAAAACAAAGAAGUAAACAAAGA